UUUCUCAGGUGAAACAUAAUUUUUAUAUUGGUGUAGUAGUUCCUGUCUGAGACUGAUGUAAUAGAACAGAAAAAAAAAAUUACAAACAAGAACAUUACAAGACCCUUAUCAUCGCAGAAAAACUAUAAUUAACGGGCAUGACGUCAAAGGUAGAUAUUUUAUCAAAUCAAAUCGGUUAUUGGUUUUUAACGGACAUCGAAGCAUACCGCGAUCCGUUAUGUCAGCUUUCGUCGUUCAAAUAGCAAGGACAAUAUACUAUUAAAAUAUUAUAUUAUUUCUAUAAUAUUGUGUCGACCGAAAAAUGUUUGGCCUACAUGCGCGCUUAAUGGGCGUGCGUGCGUAUGACGUGUAGGAUUGUCCCGUUGACCAUUGUCUUGACUGGCGAUGAACGUAAUUGUCCAUUGUGCUAUCGUUCGUGGUUCACAAGACCCGAACACCGUCGGAUAUUCAGAUCGAAAACCUGCAGAGUCUCCGACCGAACUUUAUAUUCGAAAUAAAAUGUAUACCGCAUAAUA